GAGCUGUGAUGAGUUUCACUUCAGGUCCGUGUUUAUGAAUCCUGUGAUUUUUCUUGAAGCGCUGAGUAA
ensembl:snoRNA SNORD18 Small nucleolar RNA SNORD18